rnacentral:siRNA from 1 species
UGUUUUGUUUCUUGCGCUCGU